rnacentral:rRNA from 1 species
CAGAGGUAGCUUGCUACUUGCUGACGACCGGCGCACGGGUGCGUAACGCGUAUACAAUCUGCCUUAUACAGAGGGAUAGCCUUUAGAAAUGAAGAUUAAUACCUCAUGGUCUAUUAAUAUAGCAUUAUAUAAAUAGUAAAGCUUCGGCGGUAUAAGAUGAGUAUGCGUCCUAUUAGUUAGUUGGUAAGGUAACGGCUUACCAAGACAACGAUAGGUAGGGGCCCUGAGAGGGGGAUCCCCCACACUGGUACUGAGACACGGACCAGACUCCUACGGGAGGCAGCAGUGAGGAAUAUUGGACAAUGGAGGUAACUCUGAUCCAGCCAUGCCGCGUGCAGGAAGACGGCCCUAUGGGUUGUAAACUGCUUUUAUAUAGGAAGAAACCUUUUCACGUGUGAGAAGCUGACGGUACUAUAAGAAUAAGGACCGGCUAACUCCGUGCCAGCAGCCGCGGUAAUACGGAGGGUCCGAGCGUUAUCCGGAAUCAUUGGGUUUAAAGGGUCCGUA